AACGAGGCCGACCUGCGGCUGAGUUACCUGCGGAAGGAUCAUUACUGAGUCACGUGCUCAAACAACCCUUCUGUGGACCUGAAAUAAAACCGUUGCCUCGGCGGGCGGUCCCCCCCAAACCAACCCCACGUGGUGGGUUAGGGGAGACCAGACAGUCCGGUACGCUUAAGGCGUCCGGCGCCAGCCGCUGGCCCCAAACAAUUAAACUCUAGUAAUCUUUACCUUCUGAAUUUCAAUAUU
rnacentral:misc_RNA from 1 species